rnacentral:rRNA from 1 species
CCUACGGGUGGCAGCAGUAGGGAAUAUUGCUCAAUGGGGGAAACCCUGAAGCAGCAACGCCGCGUGGAGGAUGAAGGUUUUCGGAUUGUAAACUCCUUUUGUUAGAGAAGAUAAUGACGGUAUCUAACGAAUAAGCACCGGCUAACUCCGUGCCAGCAGCCGCGGUAAUACGGAGGGUGCAAGCGUUACUCGGAAUCACUGGGCGUAAAGAGGGCGGAGGCGGGAUAGCAAGUCAGAUGUGAAAUCCUAUGGCUUAACCAUAGAACUGCAUUUGAAACUGUUAGUCUAGAGUAUGGGAGAGGUAGGUGGAAUUCUUGGUGUAGGGGUAAAAUCCGUAGAGAUCAAGAGGAAUACUCAUUGCGAAGGCGACCUGCUAGAACAUAACUGACGCUGAUGCGCGAAAGCGUGGGGAGCAAACAGGAUUAGAUACCCCGGUAGUC